rnacentral:rRNA from 1 species
CAAUAGCGUAUAUUAAAGUUGUUGCAGUUAAAAAGCUCGUAGUUGGAUUUCUGGUAGGAGCGACCGUGCCGAGCUUGAUUGUUCGAGUAUUGUGUUGUCUUCAGCCAUCCUCGUGGAGAACUUUUCUAACAUUAACUUGUUGGGAUUGGGACCCGCGUCGUUUACUGUGAAAAAAUUAGAGUGUUUAAAGCAGGCAUUAGCUUGAAUACAUUAGCAUGGAAUAAUAAGAUAGGACUUUGGUACUAUUUUGUUGGUUUGCAUACCAAAUUAAUGAUCAACAGGAACAGUUUGAGGAUAUUCGUAUGAACAUGUCAGAGGUGAAAUUCUUGGAUUUUGAUCAGACGAACUACUGCGAAAGCAUUUAUCAAGGAUGUUUUCAUUAA